GCUUCUGUGGUCCAAUGGUUAGGAUUCCACCCUUCCAUGAAGAUGCAAGGUGGAGGUUCGUGUUCGAUUCACGGCAGUUGCA